rnacentral:rRNA from 1 species
UACGUAGGGGGCAAGCGUUGUCCGGAUUUAUUGGGCGUAAAGAGCGUGUAGGCGGCCAAGUAAGUCUGCUGUGAAAACUCGAGGCUUAACCUCGAGCUGUCGGCGGAAACUAUUUGGCUAGAGUCCGGAAGAGGAGAAUGGAAUUCCCGGUGUAGCGGUGAAAUGCGCAGAUAUCAGGAGGAACACCAAUGGCGAAGGCAGCUCGCUGGGACGUGACUGACGCUGAGACGCGAAAGCGUGGGGAGCAAACGGG